UACGAAGGGUCCAAGCGUUGUUCGGAAUCAUUGGGCGUAAAGCGCGCGCAGGCGGGUCAGCAAGUCAGAUGUGAAAUCUCGAAGCUCAACUUCGAAACUGCGUCUGAAACUGCUAGUCUAGAGUGUCGGAGGGGGUAGGGGAAUUUCACGUGUAGGGGUAAAAUCCGUAGAGAUGUGAAGGAACACCGGGGGCGAAGGCGCCUACCUGGACGACUACUGACGCUGAGGCGCGAAAGCGUGGGGAGCAAACAGG
rnacentral:rRNA from 2 species